CUGCUUUAGUUGGGUCUGGGGGGUCUCUCUGGAGAGUGGCUGUAAAUGCUAGCCUUUGUGCUGGACAGCAAAGCAAAUCAUCGGAAAUAACCCAGGAGCCUGGCAGGGAAACCGCUGCACUAUGGAGAGGACGCUUCCAGAUACAGAGGACAAAUCAAGUGAAGGGACGGAGCAGGUCACACCCAGAGUGGCACAGAGGUCCUUGGACAUUGGAUUCAGGACCCACCUUACUCCAGCAUGACUUCAUCAUCACUUAAUUACAUCUGCAAGAACGGUGUUUCCAAAUAAGGUGACAUUCUUAGGUACUGGGGGUGAGUAUGUGUCUUUUCUUCAACUUAUCUUUUUGGUGGAAUGCAAUUCAACCCAGAGCACCACCUCUCACGAAAACGGCUAAAAAUGGUCGGGGAGGCAUUUUCAAGAACUUUCACUAACAAAUUUUAAAGAAUGGAUUUCACUGUAAGCCUUGGGCAGCCACUGAAGAAUGUGUUGGAAUAGCUGCUGAGUGUCGGCCACUACUGGGUGACGUUUCCUUAACGGCUGGAAGAGUGAAGGAAUUAGGGCCGAGCGUGUAUGCCCAAAAACUUCUUCUGUUUUGACUGUGUGGGCUUCUUCCAUUCAUUUGUUCAUUUAGCAAACAUGUAUUGCCUUCUGUUGUCUUCUACGAUCUAUGAAAGGUAAAAUGUGGUGUGAGGACACGGCCCAGCCCCACCAUCGUCUUCCAGUCCCACCGUCGUCUUCCAGUCCCACCAUCGUCUUCCAGUCCCACCGUCGUCUUCCAGCCCCACCGUCGUCUUCCAGUCCCACCGUUGUCUUCUAGCCCCACCAUCGUCGUCUUGGACUCUCUGGGUGGCACCAUGUUGUGGGUGCUGCUCUCCUCUGUGUCCCAAACGAGUUUGUGCCUCACUUUGUCAGGUUUUGGCUGUGACUUGGAGCCUCACCAAGCUCCCUUUUCCUCUGUCUCCCAUUCUCCUCUCCAGGCCAGGGUGGCUUCCCCAGCCCUCCUCCCCGGGUCCUGCCUGUGCCGAGCCUUCCUCCCAGGAGGGAGGUGAUACUGACUUGAGAUCUUAUGGGUGUUUUGUUUGUGGCUGGGCCUGGCCGACCCUCUCUCCACGGCCUUAGAUCACACUCUGGAUGGACAGGACAGUCGUCCUCAAUACUGAGCCUCUUUGGAACAUACCCACUGAUGGUGGUUCACAAGCUACCCAUGCCCACAGGCUGACCCAGAUCUCUGUGAAAUUAAAAAAUACUGUGAAAGGCAAAAGAGCCAAUGUCAUGUGGAUAAUGAAGUGUCAGCCACUGAAAAAUCUCAAAAUAAUAAACAUGGCGUGUUUGUCAGGGUUCUCUAGAGAAACAGCAGCAACUGUGUGUGUGUGUGUGUGUGUGUGUGCAGAGAGAAAGAAGGAGGGAGGAAGACUUAUUCUAAGGAAUCAGCUCAUGCAAUUGUGCAGCCUGGCAUGUCCACAGUCUGUAGGAUGGGCUGGCAUGCUGGAGACCCAGGAAAGAGCUGCAGUUUGAAUAGGAAGGCCAUGGGCGGGAGAGUUCCUUCCUGUUCAGGGGACCUCAGUCUUUCUCUAGAAGACCUUUGGCUGACUGGAUGAGGCUCAUCCACACUAUGGACACAAAUCAGCUUUACUCAGAGUCUACUGAUUUAAACGUUAAUCUCAUCUGCAAAAAGUACCUUCACAAAAACAUCUAGAACAACGUUUGACCAAAUAUCUGGGUACUGUGGCUUAGCCAGGCUGAUACAUCAAAUUAACCCUCACCUUAUGCUUCAUCUACUUUUUAAUUUGAUUUUACUUUGAAAACAAGUAAGGUUUUUGUAAGCCUCCAAGUUGAGAUUAACGAUGUGAGAAGGAGAAUCCAUAAACUUUCCUGUUGAACAAAUAGCAGAUGGAUUUUUUCAGGAGGUGGGGACCACAUAGGGCUGGCCUGCUCUGACGUGGCAGCCGCAGAGGGGUGGCAUUAGCAGACAGUCUCAUGUCCUCAGCCCUGCCGACGUCCAGAUCACUGUGGAGUGUAGCUAUUACUCAUGCCUUUUUCUUUGAUCUUUGUCUUUUUCCUUAUUUUUUUUCCUUGCUGAAGAUAAAAAUAAAAUGGAAGUAAUGAUAAAACCACA